AUGGCCGAGCUCGCGGCGGGCGCCGUGAGCUCCCUGCUGGUCGUCAUCCGCAGCGAGGCGCGGCUACUGCAAGGCGUCGGGGACGGCGUGCAGUUCAUCAACGAGGAGAUGGAGAGCAUGAAGAGCUUCCUGGAGCACCUGGCAAGGAGCGGCGGCGAGCACAACGAGCAGGUGCGCAGCUGGAUGAGGCAGGUGCGGCUGCUCGCCCAGGACUGCAGCAACUGCAUCGACCUCUACCUCAGCCGCGGGAGCCCCGACGUCCACCGCGCCAGAGGGGGACUCCGAGGCUACCUCUGGUGGGCGACCUGGUUCCUGCAAAAGUUGGUCGUGCAGCACCACGCAGCCGAGCAGCUGCGCCUACUCAAGGAGCGGGCGCGCGAGAUCGGCGCUCGGCGGUUGAGGUACGGCGUGGAGGUCCCGGACAAGUCAUUGAAGGUGCAAUCGACGGCUGGGAUGGCUUCGGCGUCGCGGGCUGCUGCGGCAGGUGGCUAUGCUGCUGCUGGGGCCGAGGAUGAUGAAGAAGAUGCUGACGGUCAACUCGUGGGGGCGAUGGUGGCCGGCGGUCAUUUUGCUCGAAGAGCCUUCAUUGAUUCUCGUACUCUGGGUGACUUCGUCACGGAAAAGCUAUGUGAGUGGGCAUAUGGAGUUCCUUCAAACGCCAGCGAAACUUUAUCCAUGGUCUUUCUGGCACCCUACAAAUAUCAGGAGGACCUCCUCGCUCUUGUACAACAAAAUUGGCUUAUGAGUCAAAACCUGCGUGCCUAUGGCUACAAUUGCAUUGUUCUGGUUGACAUCCCGGCCAUGCACCACGAGUUUGCGCCGCUACAAGCCAAGGAGAUUCUCUUCUACAUUCUGCGAGAGCUCAAGCAUGCCAAUUCCAACCCCCAGGAGAAAGGCACGCAAGGCCAAGUGGAUCUUGAUCCUUGGGAAGUGUACAUAAGAAGAUUGCAAAUUUACCGUGAAAAGAAGAGGGCUAUUGCUUUUCUUCAAAUCAAGGAGAAUAUCAAAGAGAUGAAGAUCUAUGACAAGCUUGACAAAAUUAAGGCUGAUAUUCAAGGUCGACUAGAGAAUAAGGGCGACGGACUACUGAAGGGCGACAAGCUGCAGGGUGAUUUUGACCAGUUGGAUCUAGACAUACUACUUCAGCUGCUGCUACAAGCAGCGUUUCAACAGGAUCAAAGAGGUAAGAACAAAGACAUGCAUAGAUUAACAGCGUCGGACAACAACAACAACAACAACAUCCUCGUCAAGAAGCUUAAGGAGUACAUGGAAGCAGAGGAAAAGGACAAGAAGCUUGAAGAGGAAGAAGCAGCCAAGCAUAUGGGGGUGGAAGGAGAACAAGCUGAGGUCAAGCAUAAGGAGGAAGGAGGAGGAGGAGAAGUAACAUGCAAACAUAUGGAGGACAUAGAGGAGGGGGGAGGAGAAGUAAUAACCAUACAUAAAGAAGAAGAAAGUCAGCAGACGGCGUGGAUUCGCCUUGAUGAGGCACAAUAUGUGCACAUCCUGCGGAAGCUGUUUCCCAAGAGCAUCAGCAACAAGCCCCUGCAGGCUCAAGACAGAUCCUUGGACAAGCAAGCUACAAAGACCACAACGGCUACAUUGGAUGAGGAUCAAAUCAAAAAACUAAUCCACGACGCAAAGGAAGACAUCUUAGGAGAGCUGCAGCAAGGCAAAUAUGACAAGAGUGAAGGGACAGGUGAACCUGUUGCUGAAAGUGUUUCUGAAAAAACAUUUACCUGUUUCGUGGAUCAGAUGAUGCAUAAAAUGAAGCCCGGGUUCAAAGAGCAGCUAAAGAUCAAAGGGCUCGUGAAUGAGAUUAAAAAUAACUUGAAUCCUCAUCCGUUCUGGGAUAACGUGUGUGAAUGCCCCCUGUUUAUCCUCAAAGUUGAUGAGUUGAUGGAUGUUUCCACAUGGGAGGAUACCAGAAAUGCUUUAAGCUUGUUAAAGUGCAGCGCCGAUUUAAUGAUCGUGCCCAGCACAAAGGACAUCCAACUGGCUAAAAAGUAUUGCUAUCCACAGAGGGAACCUAUAGACUAUUCUCUUGCUGGCCUCUACCAUGAUACAGUGCUCGAGCUUACUAGUCAGCAGAAGAAUGAAGACAGCUACAACCCCCAAAUUUUUCAUGAUAUCUUGUACGAGUGUGAGCCACAUGAAUUCUGCAUGAAGAUUUUCACUCAUGCUUUCUAUGCUAACCCCAAGAGGAGCAAUGAGGAGUUACUCAAGCUACACAGCACCCUGCGGGCUUUACCAACAACAUCAUUCAACAGCAUCGCGAAGGUGAUGUUCAAGUUCUCUUACAAUGACCUGUCUAAAGAAUACAGGUCCUGCUUGCUGUACCUAGCUAUCUUCUCUCCCAGAAAAAAGAUCAGGCGGUCAACAUUGAUUACACGCUGGGUUACAGAAGGGCUGACAUCCAAGGAAGAUUGGCCCAGUUCUAGCUGUGUCGUAAGUGAUCCAGUUCAUGGAUUCAUUACCACCAUCGCCAGAAAACAACACAUUGUGGAGACACGCCUGUCACAUCACUUGGCUCGCCACUUCUCCAUUUUCAACGAUCUCCAACUCCGCAGCUCUGAUAGAAUUGAUCAAUUCUUCAAGGGGCUAUCUGAAUCAUCUCAAGUAUCCCUGCUCAAGGUGCUAGAUCUAGAAGGUUGUCAGUGCUUUCUUGAGAAGAAACAGCGGUACCUCAAGGAAAUCUGCAGCAAGAUGUUACUGCUCAAGUAUCUGAGCCUAAGGAGAACAAAUAUUACCCAGCUACCGAGUGAAAUCAACAACCUCCGUGAGCUAGAGGUGCUGGAUAUCCGAGAAACUAAGGUGCCUCCACAUGCAACAGCACAUAUCCUGCUAUUGAAGCUGAAGGGUCUGCUUGCUGGUCACAUUGAUCCGAGCAAUUUUGAAUCUAUUCCCCGGAUUCCUCAUAGGAUCGACAAAAUGGUAAACAUGGAGGUACUAUCCAGUGUCAAGGCCAAGCAGAGUCAUGAUUUAAAAGAUAUUGGAAGGCUAUGGCAGCUGAGGAAGCUAGGUGUGGUUAUCGAUGAUAAGGAUAGUCACCUCAAGAAUUUGCUUAAGGCGAUCAGUGACCUACAUGAGUGUUUCUGUUCUCUGUUAAUCACUCUCCCCGUAGCCGCACCACAUGAGGCAGAGUUACCAGAAGUCAAUGUACCUGACCUAAAAAAACAUCCCAAGAUUCUUGAGUCUCUAAGCAUCAAGGGAACCACACAGAAGGGGUGUCUCCUUCCAUUGUUCAUAAAAGGUGAUAACAACAAACUUGCCAAGAUAACUCUCUGUCACACUCUGCUGAGCCAAGAUGAUCUGGAAGUCCUCGCCAAACUGCCAAAGUUACGGUGUGUCAGGCUCCAACACAUUGUAUGCAUCGAGCACACGCUGAACUUCAAGGAAGGUGAAUUCAGAUGCCUCAAGUACCUUCUUAUUGAGGACUUGGACUUGACUAAUAUCACUUUUGAGGAUGAGGCAGCCAGUGAGCUCGAGAAGAUGGUUUUGUCUAUCAGCAGCAAAUGCUCUAUUUCUGGAGUUGACUAUCUUCUUAAGCUGAAAGAGCUUGAGUUGAACAGCAGCUUCUGUGGAAGUUUGCUUGACGAUGCCAAACAGAUAGCCAAGCUAACUCUUUGUGGUACAUUGCUAGAGCUGGAUGCUCUACAAACACUCACCAAGAAACGAAAUAUACGCACUCUGGUGCUCCUGGACAAGUCUUUUGGUGGAAGUCAGAACGAGAUUACAUUGAAAAAAGAUGAGUUCUUAUGGCUCAACCUCCUUGUUGUCGACUGCUCGGCCAUCACCAAGAUUGUCUUCAACAGCGGGUCUGCUCCUAGGCUCGAGAAAAUUGUCUUGUCAUCUUCCACAUCUCUCUCCAGCAUCGACAAACUUCCAAGAUUGAAGGAGCUUGAGUUCAACGGUGACAAAGUCCCCAAUGAGGUGGGUAAGGCCAUUGAAAAUCAUAAAAACAAGCCUAGGCUUAAACAUAAUGGACCAGAAACUCGAAACGAAGCAAAAGGAGAUGAAGAAGAGGAUGACAACGAUGCUGCAACAUUCUCUUUCUGCUGGAAGAAACAGCUGUAUGUUGGCGUGUAUUUGGUUGGUAGCUCGCGUAGUUUCUCCCGCUGUUUGCUGGUGAAGAAGCCACAAAUCGGAAGGAGUUGGAGGAGGCGCAAUGCCCCUACCUUACCUCAAAUCCGUAAACUGCGACGAGCAACAAAACACGACACGGACGGCUUGUCCUUCCUCCUCGUUGGUACUGGGCGAUCUUUUCGGUUGGCCGCGACGGAGGAGGCCACGGCGAGGGUCCAGCCGCCGACCCUGGAAGAGGAAGACGGAGAAGAGAGGGUGGGGAUGCGGAUGUGA
rnacentral:rRNA from 1 species